rnacentral:rRNA from 1 species
AUGCGGUUUGUCCCUGCUAGCACCCAUGUUGUCUUCCUACGAAUCGGAUACGACAAGCUCUAUCACCACGCGCCGGCGGCCGGAUCCCCACCUGCGCGCGUGCAGCCGGACUCCUUCCUCCACCGCAAAUCUGACCCCCGUCGCCUCCUUCUCAUUCAGGUGACCUUCUCCCCAACCUCUCUGCCGACCCCCUUUCCUCGUAUUUCGGCGAGGUCCCAGCCACCAACUGCAUGCAGUACGGAAGUGCGAGGCCAUGCGCAUCCCGUCCCAGAAUUUUUGUUGUUCAGAAUAAUUUAUAGUGUUUUCAGAAAAACUGAUGAGUAG